AGUCACGCCGUAAACGAUGUCUACUAGCCGUUGGGAGGCAUGACCUCUUAGUGGCGCAGCUAACGCGAUAAGUAGACCGCCUGGGGAGUACGGUCGCAAGAUUAAAACUCAAAUGAAUUGACGGGGGCCCGCACAAGCGGUGGAGCAUGUGGUUUAAUUCGAUGCAACGCGAAAAACCUUACCAGGCCUUGACAUCCAGAGAACUUUCUAGAGAUAGAUUGGUGCCUUCGGGAACUCUGUGACAGGUGUUGCAUGGCUGUCGUCAGCUCGUGUCGUGAGAUGUUGGGUUAAGUCCCGUAACGAGCGCAACCCUUAUCCUUAUUUGCCAGCACUUCGGGUGGGAACUCUAAGGAGACUGCCGGUGACAAACCGGAGGAAGGAGAGGAUGAUGUCAAGUCAUCAUGGCCCUUACGGCCUGGGCUACACACGUGCUACAAUGGGCAGUACAGAGGGCCGCAAACCCGCGAGGGGGAGCAAAUCCCAAAAAACUGUUCGUAGUCCGGAUCGGAGUCUGCAACUCGACUCCGUGAAGUCGGAAUCGCUAGUAAUCGCGAAUCAGCAUGUCGCGGUGAAUACGUUCCCGGGCCUUGUACACACCGC
rnacentral:rRNA from 1 species